rnacentral:rRNA from 1 species
AUGGCCACGGCGCCGCACCUCGCCUUCCACCUCCCCUUCCCCUUCCCCUCCACCUCCCGCCCACCGCCCCGAGCCCUAGCACCCCAGCCCCCGCGCCGGGCCCCUCUCCGCCUCGCCGCGGGUCGCCGCUUCCGGCCGCCCACCGCGGACGACGAGCCCCCCGAGGCCGCCGAGGACUCGUCCCACGGCCUCAACCGGUACGACCAGCUCGCGCGCCACGUGGAGCGAGCGCGCAAACGGCAGCAGGCCGACCAGCCGGAGGUCACCGCCGACCACCCGCUCUUCUCGUCCCCUCCCCCGGCCCCCGCCGGCGGGAGCUAUGACCCCGACGACGAGUUCUUCGACGAGAUCGACCGCGCUAUUGCCGAGAAGAGGGAGGAGUUCACGCGGCGCGGGCUCAUUAAGCCCACCCCGCCUCCGCCGCCCGAGGUGGACGUCCCCGCCGACGAGCUGUCCCCCGAGGAGGCCAUCGACCUCGACGAGAUUCGGAGGCUGCAGGGCCUCAGUGUAGCGUCCGUGGCCGACGAAGAGGACGACGAAGCCGAGGAGGAGUACGGCGACGAGGGCUUGCCGCUCGACGAAGACGGCGAAGUCUUUGAUGUGGCGGACGAGCUCGGCCUAGAGGGGGAUAGGAUACGGCAGCCCGCCUUCCGCAUGACGCUGGCCGAGCUCCUCGACGAGAGCAAGCUGGUCCCGGUAGCGGUGACGGGCGACCAGGACGUCGCGCUCUCGGGGGUGCAGAGCGACGCCACCCUCGUGGCGGCCGGGGACCUCUUCGUGUGCGUCGGAGAGAGCGGGCUUGCUGGGCUUACCGAGGCUGACAAGCGCGGUGCCGUUGCCGUCGUGGCCGACCAGGACGUGGACAUCGAGGGCACCCUGGCCUGUCGCGCUCUGGUUAUCGUCGAUGACAUCACGGCCGCUCUCCGCGUGCUCCCUGCCUGCCUCUACCGACGGCCCUCCAAGGACAUGGCUGUUAUUGGAAUCACGGGCACAGACGGGGUCACCACCACGUCCCACCUCGUCAAAGCAAUGUACGAGGCAAUGGGUGUCAGGACUGGCAUGGUAGGCGCUCUCGGAGCCUAUGCCUUCGGCAGUAACAAGCUGGAUGCGCAGCCUGCUGCAUCAGGUGAUUCAAUGGCCGUACAGAAGCUGAUGGCAACGAUGUUGCACAAUGGCGCUGAAGCGGUUGUGUUGGAGACGACCACUGAUGAGAUGCUACCAUCAGGUGUGGACAGUGAGAUAGAUUACGAUAUUGCUGUGCUGACCAAUGUUAGGCAUGCCAAUUUGGAGGCUGUCAUGACUUACGAGGGGUACAUGAGCAGCAUGGCCUCCCUUUUCUCCAGAAUGGUGGACCCUGAGCGCCACCGUAAGGUGGUAAACAUCGAUGAUCCGAGCGCACCAUUCUUCGCCGCCCAAGGGGGGCAUGGUGUCCCGGUGGUGACAUAUUCAUUUGAGAACAAGAAGGCUGAUGUGCACACACUUAAGUACCAGCUUUCUCUGUUUGAGACGGAGGUUCUGGUACAGACACCGCAUGGAAUCCUUGAAAUUUCCUCUGGACUGCUUGGAAGGGACAACAUCUACAAUAUCCUUGCAACUGUGGCAGUUGGUGUUGCAGUGGGUGCGCCAUUGGAGGACAUAGUGAAAGGUAUUGAAGAGGUGGAUGCAAUCCCAGGCCGGUGUGAGCUAAUUGACGAGGAGCAAGCCUUUGGGGUGAUCAUUGAUCAUGCGAGGACACCGGAAGCUCUGUCAAGACUUCUUGACAGUGUAAAGGAACUAGGCCCACGGCGUAUUGUCACUGUUGUUGGAUGUUGCGGUGAGAAAGAAAGAGGGAAGAGGCCGAUGAUGACAAAGAUUGCCGCUGAGAAAAGUGAUGUUGUUAUGUUGACAUCUGACAAUCCAGCAAGUGAAGAUCCAUUGGAUAUCCUGGACGAUAUGUUGUCUGGUGUAGGAUGGACCAUGGAAGAAUACUUGAAGCAUGGUGCAAAUGAUUAUUACCCGCCCCUACCAAAUGGUCACAGACUCUUCUUACAUGAUAUUAGAAGAGUUGCAGUGCGAGCUGCUGUUGCAAUGGGCGAGCAAGGCGAUGUUAUUGUUGUCACUGGAAAAGGGAAUGAUACUUAUCAGAUGGAAGGCGAUAAGAAGGAGUUCUUUGAUGACAGGGAAGAGUGCCGAGAAGCACUGCAAUACGUUGAUCAAUUGCAUCGAUCUGGAAUAGAUACCUCUGAGUUUCCAUGGCGGUUACCAGAAAGCCACUGA